AUGGAAGCAAAGAAAAAUGUCAACAUUGUCAACCUAUACCCCACCUUCACUAAUAUUGUGGAUAAUGCGCCAGGCCAAGGACAAGAGCUAUCCAAGCAAUUCAAGCGCAAGUUGUCGCCGUGCUGUGAGAGUUUUGAUUCAAAAGGUUACUGCAGACAACAGAGCGAGUCAUCGGAGCUUCUUUACCGUGUGGUAGUGAUGAAGCAGCUGGAAAAGCCCUCGAGGGAGUUUGUACAUCAAGACUAG
rnacentral:rRNA from 1 species